rnacentral:rRNA from 1 species
GCCGGCAGCUAUAUCACUCUGCACCUCACAACUGACAGCCCUCUGAAGCUCAGCUGGUGUGAGCCUGGUCAGUACCUGGAUGGGAGACCUCCUGGGAAAGCUAAGGCUGUUGCUGGAA